GAUGAACGCUGGCGGCGUGCCUAAUACAUGCAAGUCGAGCGAACGGACGAGAAGCUUGCUUCUCUGAUGUUAGCGGCGGACGGGUGAGUAACACGUGGAUAACCUACCUAUAAGACUGGGAUAACUUCGGGAAACCGGAGCUAAUACCGGAUAAUAUUUUGAACCGCAUGGUUCAAAAGUGAAAGACGGUCUUGCUGUCACUUAUAGAUGGAUCCGCGCUGCAUUAGCUAGUUGGUAAGGUAACGGCUUACCAAGGCAACGAUGCAUAGCCGACCUGAGAGGGUGAUCGGCCACACUGGAACUGAGACACGGUCCAAACUCCUACGGGAGGCAGCAGUAGGGAAUCUUCCGCAAUGGGCGAAAGCCUGACGGAGCAACGCCGCGUGAGUGAUGAAGGUCUUCGGAUCGUAAAACUCUGUUAUUAGGGAAGAACAUAUGUGUAAGUAACUGUGCACAGCUUGACGGUACCUAAUCAGAAAGCCACGGCUAACUACGUG
rnacentral:rRNA from 1 species